AGUGGAUGGAAGAGAUGGUGGUGAUGCGAACUUGUUCAUACCAUCUUGGCUGCGCCAAACAUGCCCAUCUUAAUGAGCUUACUUCUGCAUUUUGGUUGAUGGCCUUGGAGUAAAGCAAAUACAUGGAUUUCUUUCUGAAGACUUUUAUUCAAAGAAAAACUAGGAUCAGUGAGUUCUUGCUA